GAGGAGGCGGGAUGAGGCUCAGUGUGUGUGAUCGCAGCCUGAUUAACACACACGGUCCUCAGCCUCCUCUUGAACACGCACGCACACACUCUCCAUCAUGGACUUGGACCCCGCCGUCAUCAUCCCCGCCAUCCUCUUCACCGUCGUUGCCAUUUAUUUCGCUACGUCGCUCCUUAGCAGGAAGCCCGAUGUUUCCUCCUCGUCUGCCGGGAGCAAGAGGUCCAAACUCGGGUACGGAGACGACCUUCUUCCACAAGGAGCUCUGGAAGAAGAGUCCGAAGCCUCCCUGCGACCAGAGCCCCCAGCUCCGGGCGUGGAGGACAUUGGGGCCGCCGAGACGAUCCAGGCUGUCCCAGAACCACAACAUGUCCCAGAACCAGCGAAGAUACCAGAAGCUGAGCCAGAAGCAGCAGAAGAUCCAGAGGUCACAGAAGCAGUCAGAGCACCAGAACCUGUGGCAGAACCAAUAAAAGUACCAGAGACAAGAGCAGAGCAACCACCAGCACCAGAAGCAGUCCCUGAACCAACAAAAGAGCCAAAGUCUGUUCCAGAAUCAGUCACAGUAUCAGAACUUGUCUCUGAAGCUGUGUCAGACCCACAACCUGUUCUCGAACCAGAUGAAGCACAAGAAGCAGCAGCAGUGUCUGAACCCAUACCAAGCUUGGUAUCAGGCCCAGAACAAGCUGCAGAACCUACCCCAGAGUCCAAACCUGUAGCAGAGCCCUUAUCAGAACCAGCCAGGUCCCCUGAACUCGUAUCUGAACCCAAAACUGUCCCAGAACCUGUUACUGAUCCAGAGCCUGUGCUCGUGUCUGAAGUGGCAGCCCAGAAGCCCGCGACUGAACCUGAAGAACUGCUUGAGCAGAUGCCCGGUCCCAAUGAAGGUCUGACAGAACCAUCGCGCAAGCAGGAACCAGAACCAGAGACCAUCCUGGAUGAUGAUGUGGCUGCAGCUGCUGAUGUGCUGAGCUUCACCCCGGGAAUGAAACAGAGUAAGGUGGCGGUGCUGAUGACCCAGGAGGACAUGGAGGAGGAGCAGAGCUCCACAUGUUCGAUGUCCUUCCUGCAGCGAUUUAUGUCCCCGGGGAUGAAGCGCGGGUCGUUUCACUGCUUCAGUCGUGGUGAAUGUGCAGCACUGUGGACUCUCAUUGACUUUAAACCUCGCCAUCUUUAUUUUGACCUGUGGGUUAGAGGUGUGGGAACUGAACGACUGUCAUCAUCAGCAUUUUUUCCUGUUGAAUUUUCUGUAUUGUGAUUGAGGUGAAUAAAUAAUAUCAGGGUGGAGGUGUGUUCUGUAGCUGGAGAAACACUUCUGAGAACUUUGCUUUGUCGAUGUAGCCUGAGGGAGAGGCAGCAGCUGUCUCACCUGUGCAGGUGAAGCGUCGCUGUGGACCGGCUGCUGAUCAAGCGCUCGCCUCUGCUCAUUAAUUUCUGUCUUCGCUCUGGUCUCGUCACAUCUGUCAGCUUCUGUCCAGCUGUGCUGCUCGCCUGCUAACCCUGCAUGCUGCCUGCUAACGCUCAGCUAACGCUGAUCCGUGAGGAUGAGGAGCUCUGAAGAGAUGGAGACCAGACCCUGCAGGAAGUCCUGCCUGCUUUCUUCUCUUGUUGUUGAGUUUUGAGGUUUGAGCUGCUUGUGAAAAGCAAACGUCUUCACACCAAAGUGCCUUCAGGAGUUUCUUUACAGUCUGCUUUUUGUGUCCAGCUUUUCUGAAGCAAACAAAUUAAUUAUGUGAGUGAAUGUUAAUGAAGUUAACCUCCGUAUAACCUAGUUCUCACUGCUGGUUUCAAAUGAAAAAAGAAAAUUAGAUGACAAGCUGCAAUAAAACGUUCCUGCUGGCUUCAGUGUUCAGUUGUGAUUUUAAAUGUUAACCAUGAAAUAAAAGCUUGAAACAUGUUGUUGAUUCUUUCUGAUCUUUGUUUUGUAAAUUCUGGAUUAUUAAAAAUACUUUUGCCCAUU